GUGGGGAAUAUUGGACAAUGGGCGAAAGCCUGAUCCAGCCAUGCCGCGUGAGUGAUGAAGGCCUUAGGGUUGUAAAGCUCUUUCAGUAGGGAAGAUAAUGACGGUACCUACAGAAGAAGCCCCGGCUAACUUCGUGCCAGCAGCUGCGGUAAUACGAAGGGGGCUAGCGUUGUUCGGAUUUACUGGGCGUAAAGCGCACGUAGGCGGAUCGUUAAGUCGGGGGUGAAAUCCUGGAGCUCAACUCCAGAACUGCCUUCGAUACUGGCGAUCUUGAGUCCGGAAGAGGUGAGUGGAACUCCUAGUGUAGAGGUGGAAUUCGUAGAUAUUAGGAAGAACACCAGUGGCGAAGGCGGCUCACUGGUCCGGUACUGACGCUGAGGUGCGAAAGCGUGGGGAGCAAACAGGAUUAGAAACCCUGGUAGUCC
rnacentral:rRNA from 1 species